rnacentral:rRNA from 1 species
AAACCAACAGGGAUUGCCCUAGUAACGGCGAGUGAAGCGGCAACAGCUCAAAUUUGAAAGCUGGCCUUCGGGUCCGCAUUGUAAUUUGUAGAGGAUGCUUUGGGUGAAACGCCAGUCUAAGUUCCUUGGAACAGGACGUCAUAGAGGGUGAGAAUCCCGUAUGUGACUGGAAAUGUUAACCUAUGUAAAGCUCCUUCGACGAGUCGAGUUGUUUGGGAAUGCAGCUCUAAAUGGGAGGUAAAUUUCUUCUAAAGCUAAAUAUUGGCGAGAGACCGAUAGCGCACAAGUAGAGUGAUCGAAAGAUGAAAAGCACUUUGGAAAGAGAGUUAAAAAGCACGUGAAAUUGUUGAAAGGGAAGCGCUUGCAAUCAGACUUGUUUAAACUGUUCGGCCGGUCUUCUGACCGGUUUACUCAGUUUGGACAGGCCAGCAUCAGUUUCGGCGGCCGGAUAAAGGCUCUGGGAAUGUGGCCUUCACUUCGGUGAAGGUGUUAUAGCCCAGUGUGUAAUACGGCCAGCCGGGACUGAGGUCCGCGCUUCGGCUAGGAUGCUGGCGUAAUGGUUGUAAGCGAC